rnacentral:misc_RNA from 1 species
UUGUGGAGGAGGACGCCGAAGGUGGGGCUAAUGACUGGGGUGAAGUCGUAACAAGGUAGCCGUACCGGAAGGUGCGGCUGGAUCACCUCCUAACAGGGAGACAACAAAAUGUUUAAUAUUAUUAUUUUGUCACCUUAGGUCGAUCGGUAUCUCACGUUUUUAAUUUAUUAAGAACUUCAUUUCCUAAGUUUUUCUAGGUCACACCCAUUAUUUUUCCUGGGCCAUUAGCUCAGGUGGUUAGAGCGCACCCCUGAUAAGGGUGAGGUCCCUGGUUCAAGUCCAGGAUGGCCCAUAUCUCUAUGUUGGGGGUAUAGCUCAGUUGGUAGAGCGCCUGCUUUGCAAGCAGGAUGUCAGCGGUUCGAGUCCGCUUACCUCCACUGAUCACCACCUCUUCCAUAAUCGGUAGAAAGGAAAUUUUUUGAGUUGUGAUCAAAUUCUGAAAGAAUCUAGCUUCCUAAUGAAAUCAUUAAGAUGCUGGACUCAUUGAAUUAAUCUCAUUGUUUUCAGAGAACCUUGACAACUGCAUAGAUUAUUUUUAAAGACAAUAAGCAUCUUUAAUGAUGCAGAUUUAUUAUUUGUGCAAAUGCAUUAAUAACAAUUCUAUUAAGCUGAUGCUUCAAUAUUUGAAGUUAUUGGUCAAGCUACAA